rnacentral:rRNA from 1 species
CGUCUUAACACAUGCAAGUCGAACGAUGAUCUCCAGCUUGCUGGGGGGAUUAGUGGCGAACGGGUGAGUAACACGUGAGUAACCUGCCCUUGACUCUGGGAUAAGCCUGGGAAACUGGGUCUAAUACCGGAUACGACCGUCCCGCGCAUGCGGUGGUGGUGGAAAGCUUUUGCGGUUUUGGAUGGACUCGCGGCCUAUCAGCUUGUUGGUGGGGUAAUGGCCUACCAAGGCGACGACGGGUAGCCGGCCUGAGAGGGUGACCGGCCACACUGGGACUGAGACACGGCCCAGACUCCUACGGGAGGCAGCAGUGGGGAAUAUUGCACAAUGGGCGAAAGCCUGAUGCAGCGACGCCGCGUGAGGGAUGACGGCCUUCGGGUUGUAAACCUCUUUCAGUAGGGAAGAAGCGAAAGUGACGGUACCUGCAGAAGAAGCGCCGGCUAACUACGUGCCAGCAGCCGCGGUAAUACGUAGGGCGCAAGCGUUAUCCGGAAUUAUUGGGCGUAAAGAGCUCGUAGGCGGUUUGUCGCGUCUGCUGUGAAAGACCGGGGCUCAACUCCGGUUCUGCAGUGGGUACGGGCAGACUAGAGUGAUGUAGGGGAGACUGGAAUUCCUGGUGUAGCGGUGAAAUGCGCAGAUAUCAGGAGGAACACCGAUGGCGAAGGCAGGUCUCUGGGCAUUAACUGACGCUGAGGAGCGAAAGCAUGGGGAGCGAACAGGAUUAGAUACCCUGGUAGUCCAUGCCGUAAACGUUGGGCACUAGGUGUGGGGGACAUUCCACGUUUUCCGCGCCGUAGCUAACGCAUUAAGUGCCCCGCCUGGAG